rnacentral:rRNA from 1 species
AGUGAACGCUGGCGGUAGGCCUAACACAUGCAAGUCGAACGGCAGCACAGUAAGAGCUUGCUCUUACGGGUGGCGAGUGGCGGACGGGUGAGGAAUACAUCGGAAUCUACUUUUUCGUGGGGGAUAACGUAGGGAAACUUACGCUAAUACCGCAUACGACCUACGGGUGAAAGCAGGGCAUCUUCGGACCUUGCGCAAUUGAAUGAGCCGAUGUCGGAUUAGCUAGUUGGCGGGGUAAAGGCCCACCAAGGCGACGAUCCGUAGCUGGUCUGAGAGGAUGAUCAGCCACACUGGAACUGAGACACGGUCCAGACUCCUACGGGAGGCAGCAGUGGGGAAUAUUGGACAAUGGGCGCAAGCCUGAUCCAGCCAUACCGCGUGGGUGAAGAAGGCCUUCGGGUUGUAAAGCCCUUUUGUUGGGAAAGAAAAGCAGCAGGUUAAUACCCCGCUGUUCUGACGGUACCCAAAGAAUAAGCACCGGCUAACUUCGUG